rnacentral:rRNA from 1 species
AGUUUGAUCAUGGCUCAGAACGUACGCUGGCGGCACGCCUAACACAUGCAAGUCGAACGAAGUAGCAAUACUUAGUGGCAGACGGGUGAGUAACAUGUGGGUAUCUACCCUUUGGCCUGGAAUAACACGAGGAAACUUGUGCUAAUACUGGAUAAGUCUUUACGGAGAAAGCUUUAUGCACCAAUGGAUGAGCCUGCACUUGAUUAGUUUGUUGGUAGGGUAAUGGCUUACCAAGACUGUGAUCAAUAGCUGAUUUGAGAGGAUGAUCAGCCACAUUGGGACUGAGACACGGCCCAAACUCCUACGGGAGGCAGCAGUGGGGAAUCUUGCACAAUGGAGGAAACUCUGAUGCAGCGAUGCCGCGUGAGUGAAGAAGGCCUUUGGGUUGUAAAGCUCUUUCGUCGGGGAAGAAAAUGACUGUACCCGAAUAAGAAGGUCCGGCUAACUUCGUGCCAGCAGCCGCGGUAAUACGAAGGGACCUAGCGUAGUUCGGAAUUACUGGGCUUAAAGAGUUCGUAGGUGGUUGAAAAAGUUGGUGGUGAAAUCCCAGAGCUUAACUCUGGAACUGCCAUCAAAACUUUUCAGCUAGAGUUUGAUAGAGGAAAGCAGAAUUUCUAGUGUAGAGGUGAAAUUCGUAGAUAUUAGAAAGAAUACCAAUUGCGAAGGCAGCUUUCUGGAUCAAUACUGACACUGAGGAACGAAAGCAUGGGUAGCGAAGAGGAUUAGAUACCCUCGUAGUCCAUGCCGUAAACGAUGUGUGUUAGACGUUGGAAAUUUAUUUUCAGUGUCGCAGUGAAAGCGAUAAACACACCGCCCUGGGGAGUACGACCGCAAGGUUAAAACUCAAUGAAUUGACGGGACCCGCACAAGUAG